rnacentral:tRNA from 1 species
GGAGAGGUGGCCGAGUGGCUGAAGGCACUCGCCUGCUAAGCGAGUAACGGGCGGCAAGCUCGUUCGCGGGUUCGAAUCCCGCCCUCUCCG